rnacentral:rRNA from 1 species
CCUACGGGAGGCAGCAGUGGGGAAUUUUGCGCAAUGGGCGAAAGCCUGACGCAGCAACGCCGCGUGCGGGAUGAAGGCCUUCGGGUUGUAAACCGCUUUCAGCAGGGAUGAAAUUGACAGUACCUGCAGAAGAAGCCCCGGCUAACUACGUGCCAGCAGCCGCGGUAAUACGUAGGGGGCAAGCGUUAUCCGGAUUCAUUGGGCGUAAAGAGCGCGUAGGCGGAUUGUUAAGCGCGAUGUGAAAACUGGGGGCUCAACCCGCAGCCUGCAUCGCGAACUGGCAGUCUUGAGUCUGGUAGAGGAGUGUGGAAUUCCCAGUGUAGCGGUGAAAUGCGCAGAUAUUGGGAGGAACACCGGUGGCGAAGGCGGCACUCUGGGCCACGACUGACGCUGAGGCGCGAAAGCUAGGGGAGCGAACAGGAUUAGAUACCCUGGUAGUCCUAGCCGUAAACGAUGGGCACUAGGUGUGGGGGUAGUAACGUCCCUCCGUGCCGCNGCUACGACAUAGUGCCCGCCGUCGGAGGACGGCCGCGACGACGUAAACUACAACGAAGUAGACGGCGUGAGACGUGCCGACGGACGACGACGAGGGAGGUAGG